AAGUUUGAGAGCAAUACACACUUUACUGAGUUGAGAGAGCCUUGUGCCUUUUUGCUUUCUUAUUUUCAGUGAUGAGCAGGUUGACCACGUCUCCUUCACCCUUUGUUUGAUUGUACUUUUGUGUUUUUUGUGAGUGAUGUGUUCUUGUCCACUGUAAGUCAAAUAAAUCUAGGGUUUGUCUUCGAAAUAGUUAUAGAUCGAUAUUUGCGAGAGGAUAGGGUCUAGCAAGUUGUUUUUUUUCCAUCUUUGGGUGUUGGUUCUUGGCAUCUUGUGUUCGAAUCGUAUGUUAGUAGGUGUAUUAGGGGCUGAGUUACAUUAGUUUUUCAUUUCAUUUCCUAUGGUUUUCAUUGUGAAAAUCGAUUUAUCACUCCAUAUUGUCAUUCCAAUGACAUUUCAAAGUUGGAAGGUUUAAUUUUUCGGAUUGAACUAUAGCACAUAUAAAGAAAUAAGUCAAGAGGCAAUGGUGCUGGCUGCAUACUCCACCCCAACAACUGAGGGGUGGGUAGACCUUCCAGUAUGCUAGGAAAUCCAGACUCAAGGCGUGAGGAUAUAUUAACAAAGGUAAUGGAUGUUACUAGAACUAAACCUGGGGUUGUGUUUGUGAUUACAACCCGUGCGAUCUUAUCAAAGCGUCACAAUCCACCUACCUGUGCAACUUAUCAUAAACUCUUAUUGUAAAGUCAUUGUCUCCGUGUUCUUCCUUGUUCUUCUCGCUUUCUUAAUCGGAGAUAACUUUCAAAGUUGAAGGUUUAAUCUUUCAAGUUGACUAAUGGGGCGCAUAAAGAUAACUCCCAAAAACAUGACUGUUGCGCCAGCCUAGAAGCUCAGGCCCAUACUCUCAGGUAAUAUUAAUGAAUGUAAAGCUUAAGAUCUAAUUUUCCAUAGAUUUUUAUUAUGUCUCUGCAUUUUUUAAAUUGUGAUCUAAGUAUUCGAAUUUCAUCAAACCUUAAACACUAUUGAUAAAUUGAGAAUGCAGGUUGUACCAAAAAGCAUAUCCUCACCGUCAAGAAAUGAAAGGUUAAAUAUUUCAACAUACUGAUAGUUAAUCUUUGAAAACUCUUGACAAUUGCAUGUGUAUUAAGUGUUUUAAUCCGUUUUGUAUGACUUACUUGCAAUAAUAGAACCUGGGGUUGUUUCCAUGUAAGCAACAGGUGGGACCUUGUCACUCGCCACAAACUGCCACGAUGUGGAACAUGGCGAACACAUAAUAUAUGAGGCUGGAUUCUUCGCAUGGAAAUCGCUACGUUGUGGUCACAAAAGAUCUCAGUUGGUUCAGAUUUUGAACAAAAUCUGCAAGAAUACGAUGUAACCAAACUGCUUGACAAGCUGACGUUAUCGCUGCUAUGUAUUUAGCUUCAGACAUUGAAAGUGCUGUCGAUUCUUGCUUCUAUGAACUCCAACUUCUUACUUCUUCUGUCCUCCAAGCAACCUGCCCAAUCGUUGUUCGUAUAACCGAUCAACUUGAAAUUGGAUGCAUGGCUAUACCAUAAUCCAAGAUUGUUCCAGCUACAUAGCGUAACACUUUUCUGCAGCACCAAAAUGAAGUUGUGAAGGACAAUGCAUAAAACUGGAAAGUACUCCCACCGAUAAAGCAAUGCCUGGAUUGAGAAGGCAAGCUUAUGUUGGAUGAAAGCAUUGGAUCGCAAGAAGUGUAGGAUAUUGUUGACAGAGGCUAUGAUUCAUCUGCAACUACGUAAGGGAUGACAGUAGCACAAAGAAAUGCACACAACAGAAUAAAGAAAAAGGACCAGAUGGCUCUCUCCCUCAUUCACAUAUGUCUGAAGGACAACAUCUUCGAAAAGGUUUCAUUGGCAAGCACGACGAAGGAAGCCUGGGAGAUUCUUCAAAAUCCUUGUCAACGAAAAGAUAAGGUAAUCAAAGUUCGAUUACAAACAUUGAGGGGAGAAUUCGAAUCAUUGAGAAUGAAGGGUUCUGAAAGUGUUGGAGACUAUGUGAACCAAGUCCUUGCCAUCGUCACUCAGAUGAAGAGAUAUGGCGAAACCAUCGAUGAUGUUCGAGUGAAUGAGAAAACUCUCAGAUCAUUGGAUCCAAAUUUUGAUUAUGUCGUUACUGCAAUUGAGGAAUCAAAGGAUUUGUAAGACUUGUCUAUUGAUCAUCUUUUGGGGUCAUUACAGGCCCAUGAGGAAAGAAUCAAACGACAAGAAGAGCCGUUUGUCCAGGUGCUGCAAUUGAAAUUAUCACUACAACAUGAGAAUGAGCAAUUCAGAAACAACAGAGGAAGAGGCAGAGGAGGAGGACGAAGUCAUGGUCAUGGCCGCGGUUUUGAACGAGGAAGAAUGAAGGCAAACCAUGGUGGUAGAGCUAAAAUGGACUCACAUGAACAAAGAAUUCGAGGACGAGGAAGACGGGGUCGUUUUCAUGGAGGUUGCGGAUGGAAGAAUAACAUCCAAUGCUACAACUGCCAAAAUUUUGGACACUUUGCAGUAGAUUACAAAUUUAACUCAAAUAGAGUUGAAAAGGUGAACCAAAUGGAGGCUACUAAAGAAGAAGA